rnacentral:rRNA from 1 species
CAGCAGCCGCGGUAAUACGGAGGGGGCUAGCGUUGUUCGGAAUUACUGGGCGUAAAGCGCACGUAGGCGGUUUGUUAAGUCUGUUGUGAAAUCCCCGGGCUCAACCUGGGAAUGGCAAUGGAUACUGGCAAGCUAGAGUGUGUCAGAGGAUGGUGGAAUUCCCGGUGUAGCGGUGAAAUGCGUAGAGAUCGGGAGGGACAUCAGUGGCGAAGGCGGCCAUCUGGGACAACACUGACGCUGAGGCACGAAAGCGUGGGGAGCAAACAGGAUUAGAUACCCCUGUAGUCCCUGUCUCUUAUAC